rnacentral:rRNA from 1 species
GCGUGAGUGACGAAGGCCUUAGGGUUGUAAAGCUCUUUCACCGGGGAAGAUAAUGACGGUACCCGGAGAAGAAGCCCCGGCUAACUCCGUGCCAGCAGCCGCGGUAAUACGGAGGGGGCUAGCGUUGUUCGGAAUUACUGGGCGUAAAGGGCGCGUAGGCGGCCAACUAAGUUGGGGGUGAAAUCCCGGGGCUUAACCUCGGAACUGCCUUCAAAACUGGAUGGCUUGAGAGCGAGAGAGGAAAGCGGAAUACCCAGUGUAGAGGUGAAAUUCGU